CACAUUUUUCUCAAAGCAGCUGGGGUUGCCAGAUACCCUUUUUAAUAUGGGACUUCCCAUAUUUAAGCCUCAAAUCUCAAAUGCUGUAUUAAAAACACGUGAUGCAUUGCCUGCUCUUGUAUUUCCUCUACAUUUUAAUAGGGGACACACGUUGUGAGGUUGAAACGCAGAAAAUCCUGCAGCUGCUUUCCUGCCCUGUUCUUAGAGCCUCCUCUGGGAGCACAGAGACACGAUCCAGUUGGUGGCUGUGACAGGAGCGAGAACUGGAGCAGCCCUAAGGAGCUGAGGAGGGCUGCAGGGCAAUGAGCACACUGAGGCACCAGAAAUGCACACCGGUGUAUUAAAGUUCAGAAUGCAGCAACUCCCCUCUGCUGCCCCACGUCAGGUGUGCUUGAUCCUCCUGCCAAGGACUCGCUAAUGUGAUAAGAAAAUAAAUAUUUUUGUUUUGUAGGCAAUACUUUUGCUUAUACAGCUCAGGAGAUAGCAAUCCAGGUCACUAACUUUGGCUUGGGAUUCUCUAUGAUCUCUCCUCUACAAAAUACUAGCCAGAUAGUCAUGCUUUGUCCUGCAUUUGGUUACUUGUUCUCUCUAAGUACCUUGUCACCUCGUCUUUACUGAAGUUGACUUCUUUUUCACCAGAACACUUCUCAACUUGUCAGGAUCAUUCUGACUUCCAAGUCCUGCCCUCCAUUGCUCUCGCCAUUUCUCCAAGCCUGGUGUCAUCUGUGCGUUUAAUAAGUCUGCUUGCUUAUAAAGCAUACAAAUUGUUAAAGAAAACACUAGAACCAGACCUUGGACAGAUCUUUGAACUAUAUGUGAUGUAUCUUUAAUUUAUUUCCUCAGAGAAGCAUCUACUCUGUUAUUUGGAGCAAUUCAGGAGCGGAACAGAUUCCCACAGACAAUUUCCAUGGAUACUACACAACACGGAGGUCUAAGCUUGCUUCCUCCGCUUCCAGAUGUGUGGAAUUACUGCAUUGCUCACAGCAUCAGCUCUUGUCUCUGGAAGCAAAGUCUGGAAGGCACCCCGACUGUCCUCAUCCCUCCCCUCCGCGGCAGUAUCACUGUUCUGUGGACACAUGUGCAGAUCUAGCUGGAGCUGAUGAUCAACCCAAAGGAGGAACCGUCUCAGUCCUGAGAAUACAAAAUAGCUACCACAAAAGACAGCAGUGGUUCGUCUGUGGGUUCCCAUGCAACUUGGAAAUACAAGAGAGAAAUCAUCAUUGCCUUUUGCAGCCUGUAAGAUUUGUGACAGCCAAUUGCAGCGAUAUCCAUAACUUCUGAAAAAGAAAACAUCAUUUUUCUCCUACUGGCAUAUCUCAACUGCACGAGAAGCGUUUCUUUCAGCAUCACCGAAGGCCUGGGAUAUCUCACUUCAUGAAUCACAUUAGAUGUCUUCUCCUAAUUUUGUACGACCAUCUGUGAAUCUUUCCAACCCAGGUUCCAUCAGGAGCAGGAUCUGGCAGUUGGAAGAGAUUUGAGACCAACUCACUUGAUCCUUUUCCUGCUUCUCAGGCUGAUGAUAUUUCAGCAUAAAAGGAGGCUUUGAGCUGGUGUUGACUGCUUUUUCUCCUCUUUUCAAGGUAGUGGCAAAUUCAUCCUUACGGAGUAAGGAUGUCUUUGCAGGAUCACUAAUACCCUUCUUGGUAAUUCAGUUGCAGUGCAAAGCUUUGGAUGACUGAAGUGGGAAGGACAGAGGAAAGAAAAGCAACCCAAAAGGGAAGUUAUCCUGAAGAGCAGGAAGGCUGAGAAUUGGGACCUCCAGUUUCUCUAAGCCUUCACCAGCACACCUGCUUGAGGGGCCGCAGAACUCCAAAGUUCAUCAAUACUAUGUGAAUCACUGCUGGAGACUGACAUUAGAAAUCCAUCUUCAUGCUGGCCUGGUUCCUCAUCUCCUACAUCACUAAAUUACAACUUAAAUCCAAAUAUCUCCCAAAUGUUUUGAUACAAGACCUAAAAAACCCCCAUUUCUCAGCUCCCUGAAGACUUCAUAGACCAUAUGCUUCUCAAAGGAGAAGUUAUGCUGUUUCACUUCUUUCUAAUGACUGUUGGCCAAUGGGAAAAUGUAUAACUGAACAACUUAGGUUAUGUCCGCUUGGAGAAGUUGAAGAUUUCAUUAGAUGCUGGACAACAAUAUUCACAUCCAAAGCACUCAAUUUCCAUGCUGCAUCAGGCUUAGUCUCAGUCUCCCCAGAACACAGUGAAAAGAUGUGACAGUAGCUUUCUGUGUAGAAAUAUAUUUGGCAAAUAUAUAAACCCUGCAGAGCAUCCCUUGAGAGGCUAAAGGAAUUUAAACUUAAGUCCCAUGCAGAUCUCCUCUAAGGUGUUAUUUUCCCCCCUAAAUACCAUGUUGAAAUUCUACUUUUACCAAGUUUAAAACUGGAAGAUACAUUAUGUUUGCAGAACUGGAAAUCUCAGUGAAUAAAUAAAUCUUGAGAAGCACAGCUACAGGGAAACAGGCACAGACCUUGCACCAUUCACAGCUUUAAAAAAAGUGUUGGAGCUUAGUAAAGCCAGCAUCACACACACAGCAAAUUAGAAGGAGGGCACGCUCUCCUCAUGAACUUGGGGAAAACCCACACAUUUCAAAAGCACAUAAUUCAGCUGUAAAAUGUUAACAACUGUUUUCCAGACUUCGCUUUGGUAUACAAAAUUCAGCCCAGAAACUCUUCCAUUUCACAAAGUAUGGUUCAAAUUAAGGGGAAAAAACAACCCUUUACAUAUCUUUGCAGUGUUUUUUUUUUUUUCUUUCCACAACACCAGAGUUCUGUCAAAGUGGGAAUCUUCAUAAAAACAACUAUUCAUAUUCUAUGGUUUAUUUAUGCAAAUUGGAUGGGCAAUGUUAAUUAAAUGAACACUUAGAUCUGUGUAGACCUUUUUACCAGUAGGUUUCAAGAAGAUAAAGUAUGAGAACCUUACUUUGGAACCAAAGAAAUGAAGAUCUGGAUAGGUUGGAUAGCUGGGCUGAAGCCAAUGGGAUGGGAUUCAACAAGACCAAAUGCCGGGUCCUGCACUUUGUCCACAAUAACCCCAGGCAACGCUACAGGCUUGGGGCAGAGUGGCUGGAAGACUGUGUAGAGGAAAUGGACCUGGGGGUGUUGAUUGACACUAGACUGAACAUGAGCCAGCAGUGUGCCCAGGUGGCCAAGAAGGCCAAUGGCAUCCUGGCUUGUAUCAGAAAUAGUGUGGCCAGCAGGAACAGGGAAGUAAUUAUCCCCCUGUACUCAGCACUGGUGAAGCCACACCUUGAGUACUGUGUCCAGUUUUGGGCCCCUCACUGUAAGAAAGACAUCGAGGCCCUGGAGCAUGUCCAGAGGAGGGCAACAAAGCUGGUGAGGGGUCUGGAGCACAGGCCUUAUGAAGAGCGGCUGAAGGAGCUGGGAUUGUUCAGUUUAGAGAAGAGGAGGCUCAGGGGAGACCUUAUUGCUCUCUAUAACUACCUGAAGGGAGUUUGUAGUGAGCUGGGGGUCGGCCUCUUCUCUCAGGUGACUAGUGAUAGGACUAGAGGGAAUGGCUUCAAGCUGCACCAGGGAAGAUUCAGGCUGGACGUUAGGAAAUACUACUUCUCUGAAAGGGUGGUCAGGCACUGGAAUGGGCUGCCCAGAGAGGUGGUGGAGUCACCGAACCUGGUGGUGUUCAAAGAGCGUUUGGAUGUUGUGUUGAGGGACAUGGUUUAGCGAGAACCAUUGGUGAUGGGCGAAUGGUUGGACUGGAUGAUCCUGUGGGUCUUUUCCAACCUUAGCGAUUCUAUGAUUCUAUAAGAAACAUUGUAAGUGACGUAUGAGCUGAUCUACCAGACUAGGAACCAAGCCAGGAGAAAGGCAAACGAAGGGAUGGAUGCAUGCAAUAAAAGCCUUCAAAUGAUGCCAGGCUGGAUUUUUUUCCUGUGACAGACAGUUAUUGUACAGUUAUGGUCUUCUAAUUAACCAGUUAAAGUACAGUUUCUGCAAUUGUCCUACAUAUGUAGGUACCUGGAUAUUAAGCCUAUAGUUUCAUGAAGUACAGAAAUUCAGUUCCCUCUGAUCCCCCUGAGAAGAAAACAGAGAACAAAACCAACCACCAUUUACCUUCCCCUGAACACCUCUGCUGGUAACAGCUUUGUAAAAUAUUCCUGUGCAAUAUCUACUGAGCAUUAGCAUUGUGCACUUCAUACAGUGAUGCAUCACUGUCCUUUGCUGCAAUUUUAGUUAAUUACCCCAUGAAAAACUUAAAAGAUUUAAGCUCAUAAAAAGUAGUAAAUAAUACAUAUCAGUAGUUUGAUUUCUUGCUACAACACAAAGUUGGAAGUUCAGCCUUCAGUAACCUCUGAGCUAUUCCUUAUCCCCACAGCUUCUGUGACAGUACUACAGGAACGUCUAUCUGUACACAGCAUACAAUAUUACCCUUUAUGAAGGCAGCACUGGAACGGAGAUAUAUAAUUAAUUACAUUCAAUUUAGCACCAUGGAUUUAAGGAUUUGCCUUCCAUUAGCAAACAGAGGAGGGAAACUUAGAAAGUAGAUAACAUCUAUUAUAGACAGAUCAUAUAAAUGACUAUUUCACACUUAUUUAAUCCUUCAAAAGCACUAUCAGAGAAAAUAGUUGUUUCUUAUAAGCAGAUGUACUGUUUGAAGGCACUCAGAGCAAUAUUCAGAUGCUGCUGUAUGGAGUGUGUGUUAAGGAAAGCCCAAAGCAGUUGGGACAGUCUGCUGUAAGCUGGCAGGGUGAGGGCAGAGGCUGCAGACACAGUGCAUGGAUGGAUGUGUGCAUGGCUGGGGAUAGAUGCAUGGCCACGCUGCCAAAGAGACCUGCCUUGUUCUUGGGCUGGGUGUAGAGACAACAACCCUGAUCUUCAGCGCAAUGGGCAUGCAGCAAGACUGAACAGAAAAGAAGAUACUGGGAGGAAAGUGAUGGCUUGAGACUUUUUUUCCCUGAAAAAUCAGAAAAAACCCCAACUCUGCUACAACCAAAAAUCCAGUCAUCCAAAACAUUUCAUCUGUGAAAAGAAUUCAAAUUCAAUUAUUGACUGCACAACAAAUUACUGCAUCUCAGUCAGAGGCCGUGCGUGGAAGCUGAAACACUGAGAACACAGCUAGAACGUAUUCCAAACGCAGCCUUCACCCAGGACUCUCUGAAGCACAGUCGACAUCAGAGACAGCAGAGCAGGAAAUAUGUUCUCAGAUGGAAAGGUCUGCUACAUUCCUCCAAGAAUUGCCCUCUAGAGCCGGAGCCUCUUUGUCUAACAGGUACAGCUGAGGCAGGUCCCUGUGCUUUGAAACACUGCUGUUAGAGAAGAAUCGAGGUAUGGCUUUUGGUUCAAGACUGAAUGGUUGGUACUGACAAAAUCUGGAGUAGGCAGCAGGACUCUGCUUUCACGUAUACAUUUGUUUCACAGCCUGAAGCUGGAAAAGCUUUAAUUUAAAUCUUACUGAUAAAAUAGAAAAAAAAGCUAUUGAUCUUAAUUUUUUUAGCAUGCAUGGUAUUUUUAUUAAUGAUUAAUAACCUUACUAUACUAUCACAAUAUAUCUGUAUAUGUAUUUUUCUUGUUAAAGUAUACAAUUUAGGUGUAAAACAUUUCAUUUGAUUCAUCUCCAACACUACUAACCUUUUCUUACUUAAAUCUGUAAUGCAAAUCUAUAAAAAUCACCAUCAGCUAUAACAGAUGAGUCCAUUGAAAGGCAGUGGCCCUAGGGAUGGCUCUGACCUCCUGAUCUUUCCAUCGCCACUGCUCACACAGCCAGGACUCCUUUGUCCAGAUCAAACCUUUCAGUAGCUGGCACUGAUGAUCAGAGCAAAGCAACUCUCCCACAUCUCUCUGGACAUGGCUUUUAUGCUCCUCUGCAUCUCCAUGAGACUAAACAACAAUCAGCAUUUGACUCUAAAACUCUUUUCAUGGCCAUCUUAUAGUUCAGACACGGUCCCCCCAGGAACCUGUAGCAUGGGGGUCAUAGAAAUCUCAUCCUGUUCCCCCUAGAUACAUUCACAUAUUUCCACAUCAGGUAGAAUACAUGUAGCAAAACCAAACUGGGCAUGCACAAUCACCUGUAGUUUCUUCAGGCAAGGCCACCUCAGAGAUGCAAGAAAAACAGUCUAGGAAAAGUUUUAGAGACCUUUUUCCUGCCAACAUACACAAACCUAGUUACUUUGUUCCAAGGGGCCAACUUCAUCAUGUACCAUACUGGUAGUUAAUUCGGCCUAAAUGCUUGCCAGUUUUUAAUACAGCUUCCCUAAAGUUCCUAUUAAUCUGGGGUGAAUAUAAAGUGCACUGCUUUCUCCCAGCUUGUUUCAUCCUCUGAUUACAUUCACAUAUUGUACGCAGCACAGCUGUGGACACUUCAGGAGCAGCCAUCCUGAAGAUGGAGAUUGACCAUCCAGUACAACCCACCCCAUCCCAACACUCUGAUUUUCUUUCUGUAGGGUUUCACCAUCGAUUGUAGCCUUCCCAAAUCUUAUCUAACACUAUCUCAUCUAGUCUGUGUUCCAAAAUUCGAUUUAUGCACCUGUAUUCAUUCAUUUUUCACUUGGCUUUGCUGUAAUGUCUAACAGCAGAGAUAGCAUUUGUACUUCUGAUAGCUCAAAAGUUUACACAUCAUUUGAAAGCCAUGCAUUUGCAGAUAGAUAAAAAUAGUCUUCGUGUUUUAAUUAAGUGUUUGCAGUGCAACAGUCAGCGUUGGCAAUGGCAACAGUCAGUUACAGCUAAUGAUACCUUUUGAUAAAGGCAUCAAAUUGUUUUACCCCCAAACCAACCUGUACUACUUUGAGUAAUUUCUGCUGGCACCUCUGGCUUAUGUGCUGCUGAUGGUCAGUUUUUAUCCUAUUGAUGUGUACUGUUAUGGUAAUUGGAGGCUAUUUUAGACUAUUUGUGUUUACCCUUAUUGCUAGUUAAUCCCCCCAGAAUUGUGAAGCAUCACUCACAGAUUUUCCAUGUUAGCUGUUAUUUUGCCACUUCUGCACAGAAACUUGCUUGAAACCACCUCAAAUCACAGAUUUGUUGGCCAAGUUCCUAUUACCCUCAGCAGCUCUGUAUUAGGACCUACGUGGCUCAAUUAAUCAGGUGGCUAACACCAAGCAAGUCUAAAGACAAGGAUGAAUGGAAAGCAUCCUGGGGGACAGCUGUGCAGGAAAAUUAAAGUCAAAAAGGAAAGUUGCAGCAGAGACCACAGUAGGACAGAGGAGGAGCUCCUGGCUGUGAGCUGUCUGCAGCUCCAGGAGCCCUGGCUUUUGGCACUUUGUGAAGAAUUGCAGCUGCUGAUGCUGUCAAUAGUCCAGAAAAAGUAGCAGCUGCAAGGGAAGGAGGGAGGACUGCUUGGGACUUCCUGACUGACCUCACACUUCUGUAGCCCAGAUCAUUUCUCCUUCUCCUGCCAUACUUCACCCAUAAAAACACUGAUUACUAUGAUUUCAUGCAGGUGGAGGAAAUUUCACUUUCACGGCUUCAGAGUUGUUUCAUUUUCAGAUCCUAAGGGUUUCCACAGCUUGGAGAGAUCACAGGAGUGAUUUUUUCAAGCGUGGGGCUUGGGGGCUCUCAGUGUUGGGACCUGCCUUUUUACUACUGCUGGAAAGGUCCAGAACUUGAGGGUUGAAAACUAUCAAGUGAACAUCAUACAACAAAAUACAAUUUUCACAGAAAAUGGUUUCUCUUUGUUAAAUUUCACAUCUACUCAUUGUAAAAGCAUCCCCAUAAAACAAACAAAAAAAAGUGUUCAUGUUAUUUUGUGUGAAAAGACAAAACACUUAUUAGAAGGCAUAACACUUUUUGAUUCUUGUCUUACAGAAUAAGCUACGAAUCCUCAACAUAUAAAGUGACUAUAAAGUAAAAACUAAUUUCUCAUGUAGUUAUUCUGUUCCUGAGACCUUUCUGGCUAUCUAAUAUAUUUCCAAAGGAACAUGUUGUUUUGAUAACUGAAUACUCAAUUAGAUAUUCCUCUAGCAAACCAAUUCAGAACUUCCUAUCACGAUCUUCUGUACAGCUACACAGAUAGGGCAUAUAAUUGGACAAAACUUUUCACAGCCACAAGAUUAAGUUUCUUCUUUAAUAAAUAAUUCUUUUUAUUAUUAAAACAUAUGUUAAAUGUAUAUUGUAGACAACUGUAUAGCCAUUUUGGAAGGCUUAUAGUAAGACCCUGUGAUGCUAUACUGAGAUGACAAUAGCAGAGUGGCAAAGUCUUUGGCUACAGCAAAUGAGAAUGAGCCCAAAUUCAGCAGCCACAGAUGCAGAGACAGAUAAAAAGAGCUACUUACUUCUAGAAGGCCUCAGAAAAGCAGGGAACCCUGGCAAGAUAUGCCCUCACCUCCACUGACAACCCUUAAAUGAGGUCUGGGAAGGGGUGGAUCCUGGCUGCACCCCUUCCAGUCACUCAGGUGCAUUGCAUACACCUGAGCUCCUUUGGGUUUGCCCUGCCUUCCCACCGGGUGCUCAAUUGCUGUUUCAGACCAUGACUUAGCAUUUCCACUACAGACCUGAAGCCCUUCAUGUCUGUGUUAUGCUUUAGGGUCUCUGUGAAAGACUGUAGAAUGGGAAAAUCCAUCUGAGCUCAUAACCAUGGGCAGCUGGGACCACGGAGUCAUCUCCUUACUGUUGUUUUGAGCCACCUCUUUGGAACUGCUUGGAUGGAUGCAGCUCCUAGCUGGGUCACAGCUAGCAGCACUGCCAAGUCUGUGAAUGGCUUUUUGACAUGGAAAGUCUACUAGCAGUAGAAGGGCUGGGGGUUGGUAUCUAUUGUACAAUCUAAAGCUAGAUCAGAAGAGAUGGAUAUAUGAAGGAUAUUGAACCCUUACUGUGGAAUAGGUUGGAGUACUCCAGUUUUCCUUCUAAAAAACCAAGAAAAUAUAGCAAGAAAAAAGGCUGGUAGGAAUUUUCUUUCUAAUUUCUCAUUUUCUCCUGCAUCAACAAGUUUCACUCAGUCCUUGAGAACAGAUCCAGGCAUUUUUCACCCCAAGCCCUCCUGGCUGCUGCUCACAAAGGACAACCACUGUUCCUUGGCUUACCAAGCACUUAUCUAGAGGGAUGCUGUCCCAAAAGCUCUCUGCUUAAUAAAAACAUUCCAUCCAUCACACAUCAUAAAAAUGAAAUAGAGGGGCAUCAGACAGCAAACAUAAACACUCCCACAGACCUCUUACCACUGUAAAAUAAUUUAUGGGGUUGAAACUACAUUGGCAUACUGUCACUGGUAAUGUUCCCACUGGCUUACCAGCACCUACAGUUUUUUUGGCUGUUUGCAGAACAAUUCCAGCUCUGCUUCCAGCUCAACAAGUAAUUUUAUUUGGGUCUGGCUCUUAAGAAAGUCUCAGAUGUGUCCAACUGUCCCUCACUGAGUAGAAAACUGUGUUGAGCUACAUCAGAGUAGCCAUAGGUAAGUUCAUUUUAAGCUUUGUGGCUUUUUAUAGAAUAAUUCCAAAGAAAAGGUGUAAUUAAUUGCCACUGCCUCAUUUUUGUCCUCCUCAGACAUCUCAAAGAAAUCACUGCAAGAGGCCUAGGCAACAAAAAUCUUUCUUACAAGAAGACAGUCUUUCAUUACCACAAAAGCCUCUCCCAGGGAGCAGCUCUGAAACCAAACAGAAAGCCUCAGGCAGAUUCAAUUGGGUUUUGGGAGACUUUGCAAUGCUAAGACACUACUUAAAGGUACUUCUCAUAUCUAACAUAGCGCUGAGCUUUUACAAACAUAAAUCUUAUGGAUACAGAAUACAAAGCUCAUUACAAAAUCUACAUCACAUGACUUGGCCGAUUUUAUUUGAAUGCCCUUUCCUAGCUGUGCAUUUCUCUCUUUUUCACUAUUACAACAGUGUGUGGCUACCCUGAGAAGUUUUACCACUGAAAUGAAUUGCAAAGUGUAUGAUGCCUACUACUGUACCACUGCACACUUUUCCAGCACUAGUUAGAGAAUGCUAGAAUGAGAGUCCUAAAGGAAUUCUGUACCUUUAUAACCUCAUAAACUUAGAAGCUUAAUUCUUUGUAAGCUCAUUGAGAUCAGUUGAAAAAUAUGGCUGGGUCGAGUGUGUUGGAUAGGGGGGAAAAUGCAUUGGAAAUGUGUCAUUGCAGAGUGUUUGCUCAGCCUUAGGUGGGAAAUGAGAGACACAGCAGAUACAGGAUAUAGAGAGGGAGAAAUGCAAGCCAUUCAAAUAAUGCAGAAGCUGCCUUCCCAGUAAAGACUCCUGUUGUUACAGUCACUUAAGUUCAAAAGGGAAAAAUAAUGAUGGACUGUGUCCUUAAAUAAUGUCGGAAUAUUCGAGCGCAGUUACCUGAAAAAAUGCAGGAUAAAUUUGGAAAGCCUAUGGUGUUAGAUAUAAAAGUCAGCUUGCACAGAGCUAAGACCAGACUUCUGUGCUGAUAAUAUAGGUAAAUAAGGUAAUACUUAGUUGAAAAAGUGUGGCUUGGAAUUCUUUUUCUGUUUGCAUCUCUUGAGUCACAUACAAAUACACUGAGAGUUAAAAAUGGGAAAAAUCACAGUAAUGGCUUUAUUUAUGAAAGCUGCCACUUCUUUUGCCAAGUCAUUUGGAGUGUUCUGCAGCAAAAUAAACAUAUGGUGAAAAUAUAAACACAGAGAUAUGAAAACAACCUCUUCACAUUUAAACAAGAGUCAUUUGAGAAAAAUGCCAAAUAAAAAACUAGAAAAAGGAAGAAGACAGAGGAUAGAGUCAAAAUGAUAAAUCAUGGCUCUAAUGUGAUGUAACUAAAAUAUCUCCGAAGCAGAAUGCGAGGAGAGCCAGAAAUGUCUUCUAAGGUGAUGACUUAUGGCAAAGUGUGGGAGGGGAAAGCAGUUACUGGGGCCAAUGCAGAUGCCAUCCAGCACUGAAACUCAUGAGAAAGAAACACCACAGACAUCUGCAUGGCGAGUUGCACCUCCGUCAUUCUGAAGAAAAAAAAGGAAUGAGAAAAGAUGAAAGCUUUCUCCCCUGCAAGUAAGACCUGGCCCACUAGCCUGCACUCCAAGGAUGUGUUGCUGCCACGGCAGAUGAAGAAGCAGCCUUCAUGGGACAAACCAGCAUCUCGUGUGGCCCAGCCUCCAAAGGAAAGACUUACCUCAAGAAGGUGUCCCUGUCUGAGGGGGUCUGUUGCGUCCCUUAGCCUCAUCUACUCUCUAUUCCUUUUCCUGCCUUAAUUUCUAAGCUGCAGAGGGUCAUAGGAAAGGGGACAGUCUGAUCCAGAAAAUAUCCUGUAGGAAUUCAAGAGUACAAGGGACUGGUGACAACAGAUGACAACAGAUCUUAGUGUUGUCAUCAGGUACUAAGUCCAUACAGCUCCUAACACUGCUGAGGCUCCUAAGGUGAAGGUAACCUACAACCUGCUUAGUGUGACAAACAGAAUGCUGAAAGCUUCCUAUAACAGAGCUCCUGAUGGCACCAGUAUGAAGAUGCACAGGAACUACCUCUGAACUACUCAAGCAAGUGCCUACAAACCAGUUAUUCAUUUCUAACUUUUGAAAUCAGACUUAAAAGGAGACACAUUAAAAAAUAAACAAUGCAUGCAUGUUCUCCUCUUGCAUAAAUCUUUGCUUUUCCCUCUGUAACUUUAAGUCUUCAAAACUAACCAGAAAGAGUUCCUGGUCAGGAAUAAGCUCUAAGCACUUUCAUGAUGUCGAAUACCCUCAC
ensembl:lncRNA